GAGCGGCUGAGGGGACCGGCGGGCGGGACGGGCGGCGCGCCCUGCGCUGCUGCGGGCGUUACGGGGCGGCCGGCCGGCCGGAGCCGCGGAGCCGGGCGGUAUCCAGCCGCUCAGAUCCCGCGACGCUGCGGUUCGCGCUCAGUGCCUGCCCUCUUUAAGUCGUUCUGAACGGCUGGGAAGAAUCGCUCCGAGACGUGAAAUCGCGGCUCCGCGUCGACGCGUGCGUUCUCUCCUUCGGGUGUUGUCCCAUAAAGCGGAGCGCUUCGGUGCGGCGGACGGAGAGCGCCGACACGGCAGCGGGCGUUAUUUACAACCGCCGCUCCACCUCGGCAGAGCUCCGCAGGCACAGCGGCUGAGCCCCUCUGCCCCGCCGGGGAAGGACACGACGCGGCUCUGUCGCAAUCGCAGCGCUGGGGAAAUUCCGCCCUCUUGCAUCACUUCUCGGAACGGCCGCACCGCGCCCGUAUCGCUGCGCGACGCGGCCGGGACUACCGACCCGCAGCUGGCGGGCCAGCCCCGCCCCGGCGGGCAGCUCCGGGAUCUGAUUGGCUCCCUCGGCUUGAUUGACACCGCCCGGUUGUCGUCAGCCGUCCGCCAUGUUGUGCGGGGGAGCCGUGUCCCCGCGUGGCCUCGCAGGUCGCCCCGGGGCUCUGCGACGUCGCCGCGUCCCCUUAGCCGCGGUUUCCCCGGGCUGUGAGGGCAGGAGGAGGGCGCUCAGGUGCAGAAGGCGGAGCCGGGGGCUUUGUGUGGGGACACGGCUCCUCGUCCUGCGGGCAGGGGACCGGUCAGGAGGAGGCAGUGAGGCCGGGUUCCCUCAGGGCGUGGAGCCCUCUCCCAUGGCAGCAGCUCUGAGCCGCCGCCCCGCACCUCACCCAACGGCCCUGGGGCGAGCAGCAGGAGAACAGUGCUCCAGCAGGGAGGCCUUCAGCAAGGCAGGCCCACAGCAGCGCCAGCGGGUCGUGCUGUGUGUGGGCCCUGUCAGCCCGGCGUGCCCAGCACUGGAAGGUUGUUGUUUUCCAUUCGUUGCUGAGGAGGAGCAAACCUGAGGGCUCACAGUGCGCCCAGGCUCUGAGGAGCAGGGCUGAACUGUAGCAUCACCCUUAACUGAGCAAAGAGCCAGCAGUCCUUGCUGCCAGGGCUCCGUGUGCCGAGACAGCUAGGAAGGAGCAUUUGUGGGGAGGUACAAAUCCAAGAUGCUGAUCAAUCGGUUUGAUCGGGGCGGUGUUGCCAGGCUGUGGCAGGAGGGCUGUGUCAAUGAGCUGGAGGUGCAGGAGGCCUGGGCACCAGCAAGGGCAGCAAAGGAGGUGUGGAGCAGCUGGGUGAGGCACUGGGUUCUGUGUCACGGUCAGGGUGAGGCUUUACAAAUAAGGCUUUCAGAGUCCACAGUUCACAGUGCUUGUUUGUCGGUCUUUCCUUCUGUUUGUAUUUGGGGUUUGAGAGCCAGUCUGUAACUAUCACUGAAACAGUGCCUUUUCAGAAGGAUUUAAUUGCCUUUCCCUUUUUUCCCAGUGCUGGGUGGUGCUGCAGUCUGUGGUUCAGCAGGGCUUUGGUUAGCUGGAAGAGUUCUGUUCCCACCCUAUUUCCUGGCCCUUUCACAACUUCCUUCCCCCGAGCCGCAUAUUGCGCAGUCACUGAGAUUUUAGAGACAAUUUUACAUAGAUUUAAGAAGCCCACCACCAACCUGGAGGUUUUCUUUCAGAAACCUCCAACAGCCCUCUUUGGUGCAUUGCACAGCCAGUGAGCACACAGUGCUCGUGCUCAGCAUCUCUGCAAUGGCAAAAGCAAUUUACAGGUCACUGAAAGUACUUCAGAUUAAAGAAAUAAUAAAGGGGAGCUGGGUAAAGAAAUCUCAUGUUUGUAUCAGUUCUCAUUGGGGUGUAUAUUUUUCAAUUCAGUAAAGUUGAGCAAUGUGUUGUCCCCAUAGCUGUUAUGCAAUUGAAAGUCUUAGCAGAGCCACAGAGUUUAAUGGUGGCAUACUUUUGUUUGUUUUAAAAAAAGGAGCAGUUUGCAGCACCUGCUGAUGGUACCUGAUGUCUCCAGGAUGGUACAGUAGAGCUACAUUAGUAAAUCAUAGAAUGUCGUAGGUUGGAAGACACCUUAAAGAUAAUCAAGCUCCAACCCCCUUGCCAUGGGCUGGCAGCCAAAGGCCCCAUCCAGCCUGACUCUGAGCACCCCCAGGGAUGGAGCACCCACUGCUCUCUGGCCUCACCGCUCUCUGAGUGAAGAAUUUCUUCCUAACUUCUGUUAAACCUUUAACGCUUUAUUUUGUAACACCAUCCACAGGAGGUAGAGCCCGUGUUGUCACCUACCCAGAAUCAUACCCAGGUACGCACUGUGGGCAACUAAAACCCAUCAGCACAGCAGUUAAUAAGUUCAUGCUUUUCGCCAGGAACCAGCGUGUUGCUGGAAAAUGAUGGCAAUCAGUAACUGCUGGCUGAAUCGUGGAUGUGAGUACAUUAAUGAGUCUAAUGUGCCCUUCAGCCUGAAGUCAUAUUUGGGAGCUCUUUCAGUUGACUAUGUGCACGUAACUACUGGCAUCAAAGUGAACACUAAAAUGUUCUUUGGUUUCAAGAGUUCAUGCAACAGGCUGAAAUCACAUAGAGUAUUUGCAACAUCAGUGCCACGCACAGGGCUGCCAGGAGGCACUGUCAGGGCCCCCACCAGCCCCAUUGCUGACCAUGGCUUUGGGGCAGUACGAGUCUCCAACUCACCUGAGCAAAGCAAAUAGCCCUGGGAUGGUGCAGCACUGUAUGGCAUCUCCCAGAUCUGUGGUAUCUGUCCUGCACUCCUUUGGUGUUCACACCAUUGCAGCACCUUGCAAUGCUGUUGCAUUUUUCCUUCUUCUGAUUGCAGGUACAGUCUCCAAAGCUGAGCAGUGAACUGCAUUGGCAGAGGAUGGGCAAAGCUGGAAUGAAGGUAACACCAGUUCUCCAAUAAACCUCAUGGGAGAAGAGCUGUAGGGUAUCCAGAAACCUCCAUCCUGGUGGGUAAGCGAACCACCUCCGUCCUGAACAUCCCCUGAGGAUUUUACAGUGCAUUCCUCGUCUCUUGCUGGUGAAGCCACUGCUGGUGUUGAGCUUUAAUGCCUUUAAGUCUGUACCACAAAAACGUCAGUGAGCCUUUCCUACCAUCUGAUCGUGUGCUGGAGAGCAGCAGUUUGGUGCAUUUUCAGAUUGGGCAUCGUGCUUAACGUCCUUUUGAUUCCAGCCUGUCUUCCAGCGCGUUCAAAACUCACACUUGCUUCUCCCAUUGAGUUGCAUCAAGAUAAAACAAGUGGAAUUUAUCAGAUCUUACCAUCACCAGACAACGCCGUGGAGGCAGCAGACAUUCAGAUGCAGAUCGGAGAGAGCGUUUCAUCUGCAUGCAUGUUAUUUGACUGAAGUGAACUGGUUUGAGAACUGGCAUUAAAAUACCAACACUGGCAGUUAAUGCUCCAGCCUUUGAACUGCAGCAGGCAGCUUCAGAGGAAGGGCAGGGCUGGUGGCAGCACCACCACUGCUGUUUGCUCAUACAGCUCUGACUGCUCUCUGUACUCACCAUCCUCCAAGUAAAGACACAGGAGCCAAAUUGGCUCCAAGAAGCAGUUUCUGUUCACCCUGGCUCUGACUCAGCCCCCUCCAAGGGCCAGCAGUGCCACCUACCAGCUCUUGGAGUGGGGAAAUGAGCAACAAGUCUUGGUCUUAUCUGCACCGAGUAAUCACACCAUGCUUUUAGAAAGCAAUAUGCUUCGCAUGUGUGCUGGCACACACAUCUGCCUCAGCUCCAUCCUGGGAACAUUGCUGUCACUGAUAGCAUUUCCAUCUGGAAGUAGGAGAACUGGGAUAACAUCAAAUGGCAGAAAGUGAUAUAGAGCUUGGAGGAGGUGCCCUGAGCUCACAGCACAGCCCUGUGCUUUGGUGAGAGGCUCUUGCACCUGGUGCCAUAGCAGAAGACCUGAGCAGUUCGUUCUUUACACCGCACACCUCUCCAGAGCUGAUCCUCCACGUGCAGAUGUGCUUCUCACAGAUUAACACCACCAACCAGUCUGUAGCUGCAGGCAUGCGAGCAAAAAGGCAAAGGGUCAAAGCUCCAGCCUGGAAUAAAUCACAGUGAGCCACUAACACGCAGUGUGAGCAGAAACGAGCAGCAGGGGAGAUGGAAAAGAACAGGCUGUGUCCUGACAGGCAGACCUCAGCAAGACAGAUUUAGCUCUCGUUCAGCCAGGAGGAUAUUUGUCACUGCAAGGACAGGCCUGCAUUAUUUUUAGUGGAUGCAUCAUGAGUCCGCAGCUUUAAAGGACAGCGAAAGAAAGAUCAGCUUGUCUGGUGAGGGCUUAUCCUGUUCUCUCAGAGCACACACAGCCCUGAGAAGCCGAGGAAUGUGUCAGUACAUACAAGACACCAUGUGCUGCUUCAAGUACAACGCCUGCUUUUAUUGCUGCUAGCUGUGACACUAGCAGUCAGCAAACCCUGACAUCACACGUGCUGUCCUUACCCUGGGCCAUGCGCACAGCAGCGUGCCUGCAGGCUGAGCCCAACGGAGCACUUCCUGAUAAAACACACCGGAGUUUGAAAAAGAUGGUCUUGCUUUCUACCGGUCCACGUGGCCCCAGCUGUGACACGGCACUCAGCCCUGCAGUCACCUUGCUGCACAGCAGGAGAGGUGAUUCCCUCCUAUUGCCGCCAGCACUGUGUGCUGCAGCCACGCAGCAGAGCGAGGCCGUGCUGCUGGGUGCUGUGAGCUCAGGGAGGCUCCGUGCCGCGCUGGGAGCCGCAGAACCACAUCCUGCACGGGGCCUGAGCAAUAUCUGAUAGACUCACUGCGCCAGCUUGCAAACGUCUGGGUGCGAUCAGUGAGCAGCUUUGCCAGGUGUUUCCCCUACAGCCAGAUACAGUCAGCGCUGAGACGCUUCAUCUCACGUAAAUCAAGCGUAUCUGUCACCACUUUGUCCAUUUGCGUAUCGGAAUUGAUGGCUCAGGAAGAGCUGCGUGCCACCAGAGCACCUCCGAGUGCUGUGCCCGUGUUAGGAGGGGCUGCUGUGCGCCCUCCUGACCUGCAGCUGCUUGCUUGCAGUGGGUGCUCCCCUUUCCGAAGGGGCAGUGCGCCACCUAGCGGGCUGGAGCCGCACUGCAGGGGGGGUGCGGUGCUGCGGAGCACGGCCAGCCGAGGGACGGGGAAUUAAAGUGCUAACAUAUGGGCGGGAUGCUUUGUUUUACUGAGAUAACCAUCAGACGUCACCUCUGAUUGAUCGCGAGGUGCUUACAAAUAAAAGGAGCUGCCAACAACAAGCUGUCUGUCCUUGCAGCGCUGAAAAAACUGACCCAAACGCAAGCAGGGUGCACAAUGGGAAUAAGGGAUAGCAAGCAAGGAACUCCCUCCAGAACUAUUAUCCAUCAGCCCACAGGGCUCGCUAGGACAGACAGCAGUGCAGGACCCUGGGCCAGGAGGGUCUCCACGCUCUUUCCCAGAGUUCAAGUGAAAAACACUGAAGAAUGGCUUACAGAAGACAAGCUUUAUUACUGACCUUUUACCCAGCAGGAGGCAGCACUUCGUUACAAAAAAAUAACCCAAACCUCACAAUCAAAACUGGGAACGUUUUGCUGAUUGCCUGUAUCAGCAGCUGUGCAAAGCCUAUCUGCUUUUAGCUUCAAAUGUAAACGUGUUAUCAUUAGGGCUAGAAAAAAGGCUUUUGGACUUCAUUCUGAAGCAGAACAGAACUCAUGCUGGCUCUAUGCUGCCUCAAAUGGCACCAGACUUUUGUUUCGGUGUUACAGUGUAAUCAAUGGAAGUGAUCAGCAUGGUCAAUUAACUUCUUUUAAGCCUCUUUGUGUAUAUUAUUAUGUAUAUAUAUGUAUAAAUGUAUACUUUAUGCAGCUGCUGGUCAGGGUGCCCCAAGCACAGCUCCCCAUUUCAGUACAGCCUCAGUGCCCCCAGCAGCCCCCCUCCACCCAUGGUGGGUUUUCAAAGAGCCCAGGCAGGCCAUGCAGUGGCUCUCCCCAGGUGACCGCCCAGCUUUCAACCAACCAUUCAACCAUUUCAACCAUUCCCAGCCUGGAUCUAACAGCCUUACGUUGAGGGGAGCUUUACCUGUUGGACAUUUCCAGCUUUUAAGCCCACAUUCAGGUUCAUCUUCCAGAAUACCACGUAAGAAAGAGAGCCAACAACCCCAACCUAUUGCCUGUGCUCCAGCUGCAGGUUUGUUAGCCCAGCCAGCUGCAGCUCGUUAGCCAGAUCCCUCCACUGGCUCAGGCACUCACUCCUUGUACCUACCCUGAGUCAGGCUGCUCUUGGAGAGCUGAGAAAGGCUAUUUUGCUCUGUCAUUAACUGGAAAUUUCAGGAAAGUUUUGGCAAAGUCCAUCUGGCCUCCCUGCAGUGCUUUUUUUUUUUUUUUUUUAACCAAGUCAUGAUUUGGGAUGCUGCUAUGAUUAAUGGGGCAUGCAUUGCAUUAGCUCAUGUGUCAGGGCAAAUAAGUGGUGUCCCCAGUGGGCCAUCCCUGGCCUGUCACAUCUCAGCCUGUCUGAGCAGCCUGUUAACAUUCAGCAGGCUGCUGAAACCCGCUGGUGAACAAGGGGCGUUGCUGGCACUUUGGGACUUCCCAUCAAGAUGUGUUUGUUAAUCCAAAUUGGCAGAGCCAAAACAACAGGCACACAGCUGGAUCUAUCCUAAAAUGAAUGGCUCCUGUGGGAAAUGCAUGCACCCGCAGUGCUGGCGUUCUGUGCUGCAGGCCCUUGCUGCACUGCACUGGUGUGUGGGAAUAACAUGAACAUCCAUGGCAGCUCUUCCUUCCUUCCCCUCUCCAUCCUGUAUUUCACAGAAUCACAGAUCCAAAGUUCCAGUUUGUGCCCGUUGCCCCUUGUCCUCUUGCUGGGCAGUGCUGAUAAGAGCCAGGCCCCAUCCACGUGGCUCCUGCUCUUUGUAUAUUAUAAAUACUGAGAAGACCCAUUUCUCAGUCUUCUCCUCCCCAGGCUGAACAGUGCCAGUGCUCUCAGCCUUUCCUCAUCAGGAGGUGCUCCAGGCUUCUCUGCAGCCCUCCAAUGGACUCUCUGCAGCAGUUCCCUGCCUGCCUUGAACUGGGGAGCUCAGAACUGGGCCCAGUGCCCCAGAUGUGGCCACACCAGAGCAGAGCAAAGGGGAGAAGAGCCUCCCUCACCUGCUGGCCACACUCUUUGUAAUGCACGCAGGAUACCAUUGACCUUCUUGGCCACAAGGGCACAUAGCUGGCUCACUGUCAACCAUUGGUCAACCAGGACCCCCAGGUCCUUCUCCACAGAGCUCCUUUCCAACAGCUCAGCCCCCAACCUGUACUGAGGUGUUGUUAUUCCUCCCCAGGUGUAGGACUCCACCCUUGCCCUUGUUGAAGCUCAUCAGAUUCCUCUCCACCAAACUCUCGCACAUGUCCAUGCCUUGCUGAAUGGCCAUACUGGCACAUCAGCCACCCCUGCCAUCCACAUAUCACCAGCAAACCUGCUGAGGGUGAACUCUAUCCCUUCAUCCAGGUCACUGAUGAAGAUACUGAACAAGGCUGGGCCCAGUACCACCCCCUGGGGAGCACUGCUACCUGCAGGCUGCCCAGACUCUGCUCCCUGGGCUCUCCAGCAGCCUGGUGCUGCACACAGGGCUGCAGGCACUGCAUGGCACUGUUCACUGCUCACUGCCAGCGCCCUUGCAGCCAUCCUGCCUGCUGCUGAUGCCUUCUGAAUAUUCACACCUGUCCCAGAGAGCCUCCCCACCAAGUGAACAGCGUGCAGAUGGCUGCCUCCACCAGCAGCUCUGCUGUCACCAGCCCAGUGUUCCCAAAGCAAAUCGAUGACCUCUGCCUGCACAUCAGUCCCAGCGUCCAGGUGCUCGCCUUCAUUAAUCACAGUGCAAUCUCCGAGGUGGGAAGGCAAGGGCUAAACUUUUCAAAGAAUAAAUGAAAAGAGGAGUGGAGUAGAGAAAGUGACAAAUACAGGUCAUGUUGUACAGAUAUUAGAGCUGUAGAUGUAAAGGGAGGGAGCAGUAAAAAUUCAGGAGGCCCUCUAUCUCCUUCAGGAUGAGAGAAAAUACUUGUUUUGUUCCUUUUUUAUCAGGGUUGUGCUCCGUAUGGGUAUUACAGCAGGUGGUUUGGGGCUCUGUGCUGCUCAUUGUGCCUGAAGGAGUCAGAAGAAUGGAUGAAAGAAAGUCCUGAGAGCCCUUUGAUGAACCUAGAGGUCAUUUCCAGCCCAGUCCGUUCUGGGAGUCUCUCAUUCUAUGAAUUGCAAUGCUUAGCUACAACUUUCAGUACGUACAACAGGCUGUGGAUAAAACCAUUGUGUUCCCCAUCAUCCUUCCUGUUCCAUUGCAUUGCCUGUGCUGGAGGUGACUGAAGGUGUGGGGAGCUAAUAGGGAGCAGAAGGGGAGCCCAAACUGAGCUCAGCUUGCCGAAGAGGGCGGCUGCUUUUCACCUGUGCUCUCCUUAGUGAUUAAAUGGGCCGGGAUACAACCAGAUGUGAUGCACUCAAUGCAGCUGAAACCAUUUGCAAAGAUAGUUCUGAGUGCUCAGUUUCCAUUCGGUUCACUGCUUUUUGUUUGCCCCCCCCCCCAAAAAAAACCCAACCCUAAAAGGUCUCUGGAGGGCUGCAAGGUGUUUACCAAACCACUGAUGAAUUCCAGCUGGAGUAACUCUACACAAGACAAACGGUCCUUCCUGGCCAACGUUCGCUAUCUCUUUUUUUCCUGCCUGUAAACUUCAGCUGCUCUGUUGGGAAGCAGAAGUGGCCAAUGGCCUGUGAGGCAAAGUGAGCCAUUUCGAGUCAAUUACCCACGAAGGUUACGAGGUGGCUGCAGCUGCUCUGCAGAGAUCCCUCAGCAGUUUCUCCCACACACCUGUGCUUGGUCACCCAGGUGGCUUUGGCUGACGCAAUGAGGUGAAGCCACAGUCCCGAGGCCCCUCCUGGAGCUCCCAUGCAGAGGGCAGAAAGGAGCUCCCCGGUGUCGUGUGGUUGCCCCAUGGGGCGCCCUGGGGCUCACACAGCCCCAACCUCAGCAUUAACCCAGCAGUGCUCCUGCGUGGUGCACAGCGAGCUCUGCUGCAGGCGCAGCACUCAGCUCUGCUGCUUGGGAGCAGUCCCGGUGGGAGGAAGGCUGGGUGCCUGACUGUGGGUGGUGUCCCACGUCCCACACAGCCCCGGUCCCUGUGGUCCCAGUCCCAUUCUAAGAGCAACCAUAGCGAUUGCUGGAGGGCUGCUGGAGAGCAGGGCGCUCACACAGCUUCACUUCUCAGAUAACAUCCCGUCUUCCCAAAGCAGAUCUUCUGAGCUCUGCCCAUGUUCAGCAACCCACAUCCUAUCCCUAACCCUGACCCCGACCCGAGUGCUCCAGCCCAGGACUCGGAGCGUGGCUGGGGCGGUGUCAGAGCUCAGGCACAGCCAUGGACAGCUGGAAAAACAUCUUCUGCUGUUGCCUGAACACCACCUGCACCGAAGCAAAGGAUCGUCACACUCACGCUCUUCAAAGGGAAAACAACAGCACUCAUCACGAGUGUUUUCACUUGGGCCGGAGCCCCAAGCCACAGCCAACGUCAGGUCUUUGGUUACGGAUCCGCGCGGCGCCUUGUGACACAUGGCCUCCUCCUGCUGCCUGCCCUUGGACAGAGCCACCCCAUCACAUACACGUGUGUACCCACUGACAGGCGUUACCUGCUUAUGCAAAGUUAUCCUGACACAGAAGAGCACGAAACAAAGAGGCCUCUUACAGACACUCACAGUUUUUCCACACGCGGCUGCCAGGAACCGGCGAAUGGCUUUUUUUGCUCAUGGCCUGGAGAUGCUGUGGUGCUCCCGUUACUGAGCUGUCCGUGGGGACGCUGCUGUGAGCUCCAGGCUGAACUCUGGAGGGCUCCCAGACGGGUGUUUUGUUUUUCACCCUCUUGGAAGGGAGCUGGAAAUGCUGGUUGCUGCUAACAAAAGGCAUUGUUUGAUUUGUGAUGCCCCCCUGCCCCCAUUCCGAUUUCCUCACGCUUUGCCCACAGAACACACAGGACGUGUGUGGUUCCUCUGCUGGGGAGGAGGCAGAAGAAGUGGAGGGCAAAGGUGGAGGGCAGAGAGCAGCAGGCAGAGCUGGCCCUGAACCAGCAGCUAUCGCUUAAUGGAACAGCACUGCUGUCCUGAAACACCAUGAUCUCAGAUGGACCGAAAGCCACGCUUCAUCACAUGCCAGGGUUACCCUUAGAGUGCUUUGUGUCCACAGAAAGUGGAGGGGGCACAGAGAAUCACAGAACCAUUACGGCUAGAAGAGACCUCUGAGGUCCCCCGACUUUGUCCUCGAAGCACUGUCUGUCAGCACUGCCAUGGGCUGGCUGAGCCGGCAGCAGCAGGCAGGCAUGGGGGUCCCUGCGGGAUCACAAGGGCUGGAAGAUCUGGGAGCGAGUGAAAGGUCCAGCCUGUUCCACCUCUACCCGCAGCGCUGUGUGCAGUAACUACGCACUCACCCCCUGUUUUAUCCUGUUCCCUUCGAACGUGCUGGAGAACUUCUUGUUCGAGGAGGCAGGGGCGAAUGGUGGGGUAACCUUUCCCUGGGAAUGCUCCCAGGGCUGCGCUCAGCUCUGUAAACAAGGCCUGGGCAGGCAAUCACGUUUCUGGGAAACGCCAUGCGUGGGGCUGCUGGAGCACAGGGCACUGCUUGGAGCCUGGGGACACAGCCCGCAUCCACAGCUGUGAUUUCUGCCUUUGAGCACAGCCUCGGGUGGGGGGGGGGGGGGAAUGGAUGUGGUGGCAGAGCGCUGCUGCUCCGCCAACUAUGGGAGCUGAGCCCAGCCCAGGGGACUUAUCUGUCCCCAUCAUGGUUUUAAACUGAGACAGAGGAGGUUUAGGUUGGAUAUU